rnacentral:rRNA from 1 species
CGGACGGGUGAGUAACGCGUGGGUAACCUGCCUCAUACAGGGGGAUAACAGUUAGAAAUGGCUGCUAAUACCGCAUAAGCGCACGGUACUGCAUGGUACAGUGCGAAAAACUCCGGUGGUAUGAGAUGGACCCGCGUUGGAUUAGCUAGUUGGCAGGGUAACGGCCUACCAAGGCGACGAUCCAUAGCCGGCCUGAGAGGGUGGACGGCCACAUUGGGACUGAGACACGGCCCAG